CAGUCGCCGCGGGAAUACGUAGGGUGCAAGCGUUAAUCGGAAUUACUGGGCGUAAAGCGUGCGCAGGCGGUUAUAUAAGACAGAUGUGAAAUCCCCGGGCUCAACCUGGGAACUGCAUUUGUGACUGUAUAGCUAGAGUACGGCAGAGGGGGAUGGAAUUCCGCGUGUAGCAGUGAAAUGCGUAGAUAUGCGGAGGAACACCGAUGGCGAAGGCAAUCCCCUGGGCCUGUACUGACGCUCAUGCACGAAAGCGUGGGGAGCAAACAGGAUUAGAGACCCGUGUAGUCCCUGUCUCUUAUAC
rnacentral:rRNA from 1 species